rnacentral:rRNA from 1 species
GGGCCUACGGGACGCAGCAGUAGGGAAUCUUCCACAAUGGGCGAAAGCCUGAUGGAGCAACGCCGCGUGGGUGAAGAAGGUCUUCGGAUCGUAAAACCCUGUUGUUAGAGAAGAAAGUGCGUGAGAGUAACUGUUCACGUUUCGACGGUAUCUAACCAGAAAGCCACGGCUAACUACGUGCCAGCAGCCGCGGUAAUACGUAGGUGGCAAGCGUUAUCCGGAUUUAUUGGGCGUGAAGGGAACGCAGGCGGUCUUUUAAGUCUGAUGCGAAAGCCUUCGGAUUAACCGGAGUAGUGCAUCGGACA